CAGUCGCCGCGGUAAUACGGAGGGUGCAAGCGUUGUCCGGAUUUAUUGGGUUUAAAGGGUGCGUAGGCGGCCUAAUAAGUCAGUGGUGAAAGCCUCCAGCUUAACUGAAGAACUGCCAUUGAUAUUGUUAGGCUUGAGUGUACUUGAGGUAGGCGGAAUUGACAGUGUAGCGGUGAAAUGCAUAGAUAUUGUCAAGAACACCAAUUGCGAAGGCAGCUUACUAAAUUAUAACUGACGCUGAGGCACGAAAGUGUGGGUAUCAAACAGGAUUAGAUACCCCAGUAGUCCCUGUCUCUUAUAA
rnacentral:rRNA from 1 species